rnacentral:tRNA from 1 species
GCGCAAGUGGUGAAAUUGGUAUACACGCUACUUUGAGGGGGUAGUGGGGGCAACCCUGUGUGAGUUCGAGUCUCAUCUUGCGCA